CCUACGGGUGGCUGCAGUGAGGAAUAUUGGUCAAUGGGCGCUAGCCUGAACCAGCCAAGCCGCGUGAGGGACGAAGGUCCUACGUGUCGUAAACUUCUUUUAUAGGGGAACAAAGUGAAGUACUUAUCCUGCUUUGCCUGUACCUUAUGAAAAAGGAUCGGCUAACUCCGUGCCAGCAGCCGCGGGAAUACGGAGGAUCCGAGCGUUCUCCGGAUUUAAUGGGUUUAAAGGGUGCGUAGGCGGGUUGUUAAUUCAGGUGGGAAAGGUUGCGGCUCAAACGAAGCAUUGCAGUUGAUACUGGCAUCCGUGAGUACAGUAGAGGUAGGCGGAAUUCGGGGUGUAGCGGUGAAAUGCUUAGAUAUCACGAAGAACUCCGAUGGCGAAGGCAGCCUGCUGGACUGUAACUGACGCUGAUGCUCGAAAGUGUGGGUAUCAAACAGGAUUAGAUACCCGUGUAGUC
rnacentral:rRNA from 1 species